UAGGUAUCUUUGAAUCGUGUCGUGCUAGGAUAGACGAUGCAUAUCGUCUCACGAGGAAUUCCUAGUAAAUGCAGUCAUCAGCUUGCGUUGAUUACGUCCCUGCCCCUUGUACACACCGCCCGUCGCUCCUACCGAUUGAGUGAUCCGGUGAGCUGUCCGGACUGCGAUUAGUUCAGUUUCUGUUCUCUUCGCGGGAAGUUCUGCAAACCUUAUCACUUAGAGGAAGGAGAAGUCGUAACAAGGUUUCCGUAGGUGAACCUGCGGAAGGAUCAUUC
rnacentral:ncRNA from 1 species